CAGAUCAGACAUGUUUGCAUCCCUUGCAGGACAGGACUUGUCCACCUUGAGAUUAGCCACUAACGUUGCAGAAGAGCUCUUCACCCAAGCAGAUGACUCUCUAGUCUUCUUGGCUGCAACCAUCCUCACCUCCAAAGGAGUCAACGACGCAGAAUCAACUCCACAUUUGACUACUCGUGACUCAACAGCUGGGAUUGUG
rnacentral:lncRNA from 1 species